rnacentral:rRNA from 1 species
GAUGAACGCUGGCGGCGUGCCUAACACAUGCAAGUCGAGCGAUUUACUUCGGUAAAGAGCGGCGGACGGGUGAGUAACGCGUGGGUAACCUGCCCUGUACACACGGAUAACAUACUGAACGGUAUGCUAAUACGGGAUAACAUAAGAGAGUCGCAUGGCUUUCUUAUCAAAGCUUUUGCGGUACAGGAUGGACCCGCGUCUGAUUAGCGAGUUGGUAAGGUAACGGCUUACCAAGGCGACGAUCAGUAGCCGACCUGAGAGGGUGAUCGGCCACAUUGGAACUGAGACACGGUCCAAACUCCUGCGGGAGGCAGCAGUGGGGAAUAUUGCACAAUGGGCGAAAGCCUGAUGCAGCAACGCCGCGUGAGCGAUGAAGGCCUUCGGGUCGUAAAGCUCUGUCCUCAAGGAAGAUAAUGACGGUACUUGAGGAGGAAGCCCCGGCUAACUACGUGCCAGCCGCCGCAGUAA